GAGUGGCUCAAUGGUAGAGCAUCUGUCUUCGGAACAGAU
rnacentral:tRNA from 1 species